CUCGUUAACUUCUCCAAAAUGAGAAUGAUAUCACACAUCAUCAGAGAGAUCCGACAAUUUCAGCAGACUCCGUACAGAAUAGAGCAUCAAGCCAAGGUGACCCAGUACCUCCUGGAUAAGACUCUGAUCAUGGAUGAAGACACCCUCUAUGAUCUCUCUCUGAAGAUCGAGCCCAGGCUUCCAGCCUGAGUUACAGCUGUUAGUGGCCAGUGGGAGCCUGCUGAACCUAGACCCCUGAGGGCAAAAUGCCCACGUAAUCACAAAUGGGGCAGUUUACAGAGCGACAUUGAAAUGGAAAUCAGGGGGAUUAAAGUGAGAGUUUAUUGUUGAAUGAAAUGGAGAGUCUAACAAUGGACCUAAUGAGGGAGCAUGAGACAGGCUAAGGUUUUUUGAGGUGGCUGACUGAUUGUUUUCAAGAAGAACAAGGAGGAAAAGGUUUUGAUUGCAUUUUGUGAGGGUUUUCAGGAAAUGGUGUGUCGCUGUGUAUUCACCAUUCCUCAAUGGAGAAGUAUGGUGCACACGUCCACAGACAGCCUGAUAGUGCAGGAAAGGCUGAAUGGAUGAAGUACAGUGGGUAUAACAGAGAUGUAGCAUAUACAGAUAGUGUGACAGAGAGAUGUUUGAACUGGUGUCUCUGUGCUGUUGUCUGUGAUCUGUUGUCUGUGUUAGUCCGUGCCAUGUCCCGGAGCGAGAGCCCCAAAAAAAGCUUUCUGUCAUGAUGGUAAUACUUGCAUGAUUUCAGCUUUGGAUGUAACUGUUGAAAUGGCCUUCAACCUGACCCCUCU